UACGGGGGGGGCAAGCGUUGUUCGGAAUUACUGGGCGUAAAGGGCUCGUAGGCGGCCAACUAAGUCGGACGUGAAAUCCCUCGGCUUAACCGGGGAACUGCGUCCGAUACUGGAUGGCUUGAGUUCGGGAGAGGGAUGCGGAAUUCCAGGUGUAGCGGUGAAAUGCGUAGAUAUCUGGAGGAACACCGGUGGCGAAGGCGGCAUCCUGGACCGGCAUUGACGCUGAGGAGCGAAAGCCAGGGGAGCAAACAGG
rnacentral:rRNA from 1 species